CGGCAGGUAGCGCAGCUAACGCGUGAAGUUGACCGCCUGGGGAGUACGGUCGCAAGAUUAAAACUCAAAGGAAUUGACGGGGACCCGCACAGCGGUGGAUGAUGUGGAUUAAUUGAUGCAACGCGAAAAACCCUUACCUACCCUUGAUAUGUCUGAAUCCCGAAGAGAUUUGGGAGUGCUCGCAAGAGAACCGGAACACAGGUGCUGCAUGGCUGUCGUCAGCUCGUGUCGUGAGAUGUUGGGUUAAGUCCUGCAACGAGCGCAACCCUUGUCAUUAGUUGCUACGAAAGGGCACUCUAAUGAGACUGCCGGUGACAAACCGGAGGAAAGCGUGUGGAUGACGUCAAGUCCUCAUGGCCCUUAUGGUAGGGGCUUCACACGUCAUACACGAUGGGACAGAGGGUCGCUAACCCGCGAGGGGGAGCCAAUCCCAGAAACCUGAUCGUAGUCCGGAUCGUAGCCUCGCAACUCGACUGCGUGAAGUCGGAAUCGCCAGUAAUCGUGGAUCAGCAUGUCGCGGUGAAUACGUUCCUCGGGUCUUGUACACACCGCCCGUCACACAUGGGAGUGGGUUUUACCAGAAGUAGUUAGCCUAACCGUAAGGAGGGCGAUUACCACGGUAGGAUUCAUACCCAGUAGAAGUCGUAACAAGGUA
rnacentral:misc_RNA from 1 species